UUUGUUCCCUAAAUAGGGACUUGUAUGAACGGCCACAAGAGGGCUUUACUGUCUCUUACUUCCAAUCCGUGAAAUUGACCUUCCCGUGAAGAGGCGGGAAUAUAAUAAUAAGACGAGAAGACCCUAUGGAGCUUUAAUUAACCGACCCAAAGAGACCCUAUGAACCAACCGACAGGAACAACAAACCUCUAUAUGGGCCGGCAAUUUAGGUUGGGGUGACCUCGGAGAACAAAACAACCUCCGAGUGAUUUAAAUCUAGACUAACUAGUCGAAAGUACUCCAUCACUUAUUGAUCCAAAAACCUUGAUCAACGGAACAAGUUACCCUAGGGAUAACAGCGCAAUUCUCUUUCAGAGUCCAUAUCGACAAUAGGG
rnacentral:rRNA from 1 species